AGGACGAACGCUGGCGGCGUGCCUAAUACAUGCAAGUUGAACGCAACAAAGACACCAGAGCUUGCUCUACCGUCUUUGUUGAGUAGCGAACGGGUGAGUAACGCGCGGGUAACCUGCCUUAUAGCGGGGAUAACUAUUGGAAACGAUAGCUAAUACCGCAUAACAAUAGAGAUUGCAUAAUCUUUAUUUGAAAGUGCCAACUGGUACACUAUGAGAUGGACCCGCGUUGUAUUAGCUAGUUGGUAGUGUAAUGGACUACCAAGGCGAUGAUACAUAGCCGACCUGAGAGGGUGAUCGGCCACAUUGGGACUGAGACACGGCCCAAACUCCUACGGGAGGCAGCAGUAGGGAAUCUUCGGCAAUGGACGAAAGUCUGACCGAGCAACGCCGCGUGAGUGAAGAAGGUUUUCGGAUCGUAAAACUCUGUUGUUAGAGAAGAAUGUUGAUUAGAGUGGAAAAUUAAUCAAGUGACGGUAUCUAACCAGAAAGGGACGGCUAACUACGUG
rnacentral:rRNA from 1 species